rnacentral:tRNA from 1 species
GGGCCCGUGGUCUAGUGGCUAUGACAUCCGCCUGACUAGAGUUAGCUCAGAACGCGGGGGAUCCCCGGUUCAAUUCCGGGCGGGCCCA